rnacentral:rRNA from 1 species
UACGGGGGGGGCAAGCGUUGUUCGGAAUUACUGGGCGUAAAGGGCUUGUAGGUGGCCAACUAAGUCAGACGUGAAAUCCCUCAGCUUAACUGGGGAACUGCGUCUGAUACUGGAUGGCUUGAGUUUGGGAGAGGGAUGCGGAAUUCCAGGUGUAGCGGUGAAAUGCGUAGAUAUCUGGAGGAACACCGGUGGCGAAGGCGGCUCUCUGGGCCGAUACUGACGCUGAGGAGCGAAAGCGUGGGGAGCAAACAGG